CGGCUUCGCCGUCUCGUUCUUGUGCCAGAACCACCCGGGCCGGAUCGAGACGUCGCACUCCGGCGGGACCCAGUCGGUCCCCCGCGGAUCCCCCGUGUUCAGGUAGCUAAAAUUCGAUCGGCAAUCAAAUCCAUCAACAACAGCGAGCUAAUUAAGGUCUAAUUUAGAAAUGCUUUCUUCAAUUCGCGUAAUAAUGUUUAUUAUUAUUAUUGGAAUUAUUAGAUCAAUGAUUAGGGAUGGAUUUAAUUACUCGACGAUGCCGGCGUCUCCGAUCCUCAGCAUGGUUCGGUUGAUGGUGGACCAACAGGUGGAGCCGGCGAAGCCCGACUCGUCGCCCACCCAGCGGACGUCG
rnacentral:lncRNA from 1 species